CAGUAGCCGCGGGAAUACGGAGGGUGCAAGCGUUAUCCGGAUUUAUUGGGUUUAAAGGGUCCGUAGGCGGAUCUGCAAGUCAGUGGUGAAAUCUCACAGCUUAACUGUGAAACUGCCAUUGAUACUGCAGGUCUUGAGUAAAUUUGAAGUGGCUGGAAUAAGUAGUGUAGCGGUGAAAUGCAUAGAUAUUACUUAGAACACCAAUUGCGAAGGCAGGUCACUAAGAUUUAACUGACGCUGAUGGACGAAAGCGUGGGGAGCGAACAGGAUUAGAUACCCCAGUAGUCCCUGUCUCUUAUAC
rnacentral:rRNA from 1 species